GACGAACGCUGGCGGCGUGCUUAACACAUGCAAGUCGAACGAAGUGGCGAACGGGUGAGUAACGCGUAAUCAACCUGCACAUCAGAGGGGGACAACAGUUGGAAACGACUGCUAAUACCGCAUACUGAAGGAGGGGCUUGCGUCUGAUUAGCUAGUUGGAGGGGUAACGGCCCACCAAGGCGAUGAUCAGUAGCCGGGUUGGGAGGAUGAACGGCCCCAUGGGGACUGAGACACGGCCCAGAAUCCUACGGGAGGCAGCAGUGGGGAAUCUUCCGCAAUGGACGAAAGUCUGACGGAGCAACGCCGCGGGAGUGAGGACGGCCUUCGGGUUGUAAAGCGCUGUUAAUCGGGACGCGGUACCGGAAUAGAAAGCCACGGCUAACUACGUGCCAGCAGCCGCGGUAAUUC
rnacentral:rRNA from 1 species